rnacentral:rRNA from 1 species
UCUUUUUCCACCGGAGCUUGCUCCACCGGAAAAAGANGAGUGGCGAACGGGUGAGUAACACGUGGGUAACCUGCCCAUCAGAAGGGGAUAACACUUGGAAACAGGUGCUAAUACCGUAUAACAAUCNAAACCGCAUGGUUUUGAUUUGAAAGGCGCUUUCGGGUGUCGCUGAUGGAUGGACCCGCGGUGCAUUAGCUAGUUGGUGAGGUAACGGCUCACCAAGGCCACGAUGCAUAGCCGACCUGAGAGGGUGAUCGGCCACAUUGGGACUGAGACACGGCCCAAACUCCUACGGGAGGCAGCAGUAGGGAAUCUUCGGCAAUGGACGAAAGUCUGACCGAGCAACGCCGCGUGAGUGAAGAAGGUUUUCGGAUCGUAAAACUCUGUUGUUAGAGAAGAACAAGGAUGAGAGUAACUGUUCAUCCCUUGACGGUAUCUAACCAGAAAGCCACGGCUAACUACGUGCCAGCAGCCGCGGUAAUACGUAGGUGGCAAGCGUUGUCCGGAUUUAUUGGGCGUAAAGCGAGCGCAGGCGGUUUCUUAAGUCUGAUGUGAAAGCCCCCGGCUCAACCGGGGAGGGUCAUUGGAAACUGGGAGACUUGAGUGCAGAAGAGGAGAGUGGAAUUCCAUGUGUAGCGGUGAAAUGCGUAGAUAUAUGGAGGAACACCAGUGGCGAAGGCGGCUCUCUGGUCUGUAACUGACGCUGAGGCUCGAAAGCGUGGGGAGCAAACAGGAUUAGAUACCCUGGUAGUCCACGCCGUAAACGAUGAGUGCUAAGUGUUGGAGGGUUUCCGCCCUUCAGUGCUGCAGCUAACGCAUUAAGCACUCCGCCUGGGG